rnacentral:rRNA from 1 species
CUAAUACAUGCAAGUCGAGCGAGAACCGGGGCUUCGGCCCCGGGGAGAGCGGCGAACGGGUGCGUAUCACGUGAGCAACCUGCCUCGGAGACCGGAAUAACUCGAGGAAACUCGGGCUAAUGCCGGAUGCCCUCGGUGGACCGCAUGGUCCGGCGAGGAAAUGGAUUCCGCUCCGAGAUGGGCUCGCGGCCUAUCAGCUUGUUGGUGGGGUAACGGCCUACCAAGGCGACGACGGGUAGCUGGUCUGAGAGGACGAUCAGCCACACUGGGACUGAGACACGGCCCAGACUCCUACGGGAGGCAGCAGUAGGGAAUCUUGCGCAAUGGGGGAAACCCUGACGCAGCGACGCCGCGUGCGGGAUGAAGGCCUUCGGGUCGUAAACCGCUUUCAGCAGGGACGAAAUUGACGGUACCUGCAGAAGAAGGCCCGGCCAACUACGUGCCAGCAGCCGCGGUGAUACGUAGGGGUCUAGCGUUGUCCGGAAUUAUUGGGCGUAAAGAGCUCGUAGGCGGUUCGGCAAGUCGGAUGUGAAAUCUCCACGCUUAACGUGGAGGGGCCAUUCGAAACUGCCGUGACUCGAGUCCGGUAGGGGAGUGCGGAAUUCCCGGUGUAGCGGUGAAAUGCGCAGAUAUCGGGAGGAACACCAGUGGCGAAGGCGGCACUCUGGGCCGGAACUGACGCUGAGGAGCGAAAGCGUGGGGAG